GGUCAAACAUUAUUCUUGAUGUCUCUGCAAGACUGUUUUGGGGGUGAAAUUAACAGGCAAGUUGGUGAGCUUUGGUGAAGCAAACAACCUUACAUGAUGUGAGUGGUCCUUGUGCCCAGUUGAAGCCGUGAGUAAAACAAAGUCUGACAUAGCCUUGAGCAAGAAAGAACUCUACCUCCAGACAACUUCGGGGGCAGGUGCAAAGUUGGUGCUGCCCUGGGUCUCUAGCUGCCAGCUUCCCCGACAGGCUUCGGGUGCCCAUAGCCCCACAAUCAAGGAAUCCAGUUUCUAAAAUUAACCUACCUCUCUCUUUUCCCCUUCCUCCUCCCACUCUUCCUCGCUCUUCCUCCCGCUAGUUCUGUGGCCCUGCAGACUCCUGACUGAACUAACACAGUUGGGGAGAAUAAGCCGUAAAAAGGGGAGCUUUUCUGUCCUUUCACUUUGCACUGAUGCCCCAUCCAUCCUCCCUUUCUGCUUGCCAUGGUAAAUGGUGUCCGACGUAACACAGAUGCACUGUGCACUGGAGAGGCAGAGCAUCCUGCCUUCCACAGCCGUGCACACCAGUCCCUGUGCACAAGUGGCCACCCACCCAGCGAAUCGACGUGGUGUGCUUAUCAAAAUCUGUGUGUCUGUGGGCCAGAGCCAAAUCCAGGUAAGCUGGGUCCCUCCUUGGGUCCACCGAGUGAUUCACAGUAUCCGCCAGACUGUAUUCGCCUCCCAAGCCUGAGGUCCGCUUCCCAGCAGAGCCCUCGCUGUUGGCACACUAGUCUGAACCCCAUUUCCUAGCAGGAUAUUGACGGAUGUCCUUACUGGUAAGGCUGUCUGGGACUCUCAGUGAAAAGACCGGCCAUGUGUGCCUCCAGAUGGUACUAGAUCCAGGUGCUAGAACAAGAUGAGCAAGUGAAUCUCUCAUACUUCAGAUCCUUCAAGGAUCUUGAAAAGAGCGCUGGAAUCAAAGGCGAACGCCACCACUGCCCGGCCUUGUUUUGUUUUUAAAGACAGUUUUCGGCACACAGAGAGGCUGUGAGUUAGGACGGGGGUUUCUUGCCGUUGCCACCAUUCUCAUUGACACGUUAUGCUGCACACAGCAGAGCCCCAUCCUGAAUGCCCAGCGGUGCCCACAGCCAGGAGGAGCAUUCGAUGUGUGAUGACUCAUCUCGUGCAUCAGACGCUCUCUAAAGUUCCCACAGAUUAUACCAUGGCUUAGUGAGUGCGAUUCUAAGACAGUUCCAAAAGACUUUUCAAUCCGUGGGAGUUUCAAAGUGGAUUCUCAGACAAACAUGGGGAGGACUGAGGCAGGCUUGGACACGCACAGAAUCAGACAACGAUGGGCUGAGGAAGUGGCUCAGCGGUUAAGAGCACUGUCUGCUCUUCCAAAGGUCCGGAGUUCAAAUCCCUGCAACCACAUGGUGGCUCACAACCAACUGUAAUGAGAUCUGGCGCCCUCUUCUGGAGUGUCUGAAGACAGAUACAGUGUACUUACAUAUAGUAAAUAAAUAAAUCUUAAAAAAAAAAAAAA
rnacentral:lncRNA from 1 species